UACGAAGGGGGCUAGCGUUGUUCGGAAUUACUGGGCGUAAAGGGCGCGUAGGCGGUCCUGAUCGUCGGAUGUGAAAGGCCUGGGCUCAACCUGGGAACUGCAUCCGAUACGGCGGGACUGGAGUGUGGGAGAGGUUGGUGGAAUUCCCAGUGUAGAGGUGAAAAUUCGUAGAUAUUGGGAAGAACACCGGUGGCGAAGGCGGCCAACUGGACCACAACUGACGCUGAGGCGCGAAAGCGUGGGGAGCAAACGG
rnacentral:rRNA from 1 species